GAGGAGAGAUGGGAUGGAGAGAAGGUAUGAGCUAAAAAUCCCCAAGCUCUGCCCUCCUCCCUCCCCUACUUCUCCCC
ensembl:miRNA